rnacentral:rRNA from 1 species
CCUACGGGAGGCAGCAGUAGGGAAUAUUGCUCAAUGGGCGAAACCCUGAACCAGCAACGCCGCGUGAAGGAUGAAGGUUUUCGGAUUGUAAACUCCUUUUGUUAGAGAAGAUAAUGACGGUAUCUAACGAAUAAGCACCGGCUAACUCCGUGCCAGCAGCCGCGGUAAUACGGAGGGUGCAAGCGUUACUCGGAAUCACUGGGCGUAAAGAGCGCGUAGGCGGGAUAGCAAGUCAGAUGUGAAAUCCUAGGGCUUAACCAGAGAACUGCAUUUGAAACUGUUAUUCUAGAGUAUGGGAGAGGUAGGUGGAAUGCUUGGUGUAGGGGUAAAAUCCGUAGAGAUCAAGAGGAACACUCAUUGCGAAGGCGACCUGCUAGAACAUAACUGACGCUGAUGCGCGAAAGCGUGGGGAGCAAACAGGAUUAGAUACCCGAGUAGUC